GGACCCGCACAAGCGGUGGAGCAUGUGGUUUAAUUCGAAGCAACGCGAAGAACCUUACCAGGUCUUGACAUCCUUUGACCACUCUAGAGAUAGAGCUUUCCCUUCGGGGACAAAGUGACAGGUGGUGCAUGGUUGUCGUCAGCUCGUGUCGUGAGAUGUUGGGUUAAGUCCCGCAACGAGCGCAACCCUUAUUACUAGUUGCCAGCAUUUAGUUGGGCACUCUAGUGAGACUGCCGGUGACAAACCGGAGGAAGGUGGGGAUGACGUCAAAUCAUCAUGCCCCUUAUGACCUGGGCUACACACGUGCUACAAUGGAUGGUACAACGAGUCGCAAGGUCGCGAGGCCAAGCUAAUCUCUUAAAGCUAUUCUCAGUUCGGAUUGUAGGCUGCAACUCGUCUACAUGAAGCCGGAAUC
rnacentral:rRNA from 1 species